rnacentral:lncRNA from 1 species
UCGGAUAUUUCCAUUAUCAAUUAAAUGAUCAAUUCUUUUUUCAAGACAAGAAAAUCAACCAUGGAUAUAUCCGUUACUAAUCAUAUAAUCAAUUCCUAUUUCAGGGUGGACAAAUAUCUUGAUGUGCUAUAUUGUCACGACCCGAAACUCCCAUCGAGCUCGUGACAACCGCUGCGAUGUCCAGAUAGACAUUCGUUACCCGGAAUGCCAAUCGAAACCUCGCAAGGCUUAACAUCAGUUUUCUCGCUUCCCCUGUGAGUAUUAGAUACUAAAAUCAUGUUUUAAAGUGAUAUGAACCAAUUUCAAUUCAAAAACAGUCAAAGAAAAGUUUCAACUACACAGGGGUAUUUUGGUCAUUUUUUCUAAAAAUUUCGAAACUAGCUAAAAUGUAGUAUAUGAGAGAAAUUUACACAUUUCAUAACUGAAAAUAAGUUUAGAUAUCUAAAACAUUCAUUUAAAGUGAAAUUAUAGCUAAUGGAAUAAAAUAAAAAUAAUGAAUAAAAUAUUCUAAUUUUUCAUAAAACAAUUUUUAUAGAACGCUACGUAAAUAAUUUUUACAACGUAAAAGUAAAAUAAAUUCCUACAUACAGUAGCACACGCAGCUAGGUAUUCAAAAUAUUUAACAAUGACAUGUGGGCUCCCGAAUGACUAAAAGUAAUGAAGGCUGUGAACCUACAAUUUUUAAGGAUGCAAGUCCAACUGUAACCCUCAACGAAAUGAGCUAUCUACCGACUAUCCUGAGCAUGAAAUGGGUGAAAAUGAGGGUGAUAAGAUUGUAUAAUCCCAGUGAGUAAACAA